rnacentral:rRNA from 1 species
UCCGGCCGGGAACUCAAAGGAGACUGCCAGUGAUAAACUGGAGGAAGGUGGGGAUGACGUCAAGUCAUCAUGGCCCUUACGACCAGGGCUACACACGUGCUACAAUGGCGCAUACAAAGAGAAGCGACCUCGCGAGAGCAAGCGGACCUCAUAAAGUGCGUCGUAGUCCGGAUUGGAGUCUGCAACUCGACUCCAUGAAGUCGGAAUCGCUAGUAAUCGUGGAUCAGAAUGCCACGGUGAAUACGUUCCCGGGCCUUGUACACACCGCCCGUCACACCAUGGGAGUGGGUUGCAAAAGAAGUAGGUAGCUUAACCUUCGGGAGGGCGCUUACCACUUUGUGAUUCAUGACUGGGGUGAAGUCGUAACAAGGUAACCGUAGGGGAACCUG